UACGUAGGGUCCGAGCGUUGUCCGGAAUUAUUGGGCGUAAAGAGCUCGUAGGCGGCUUGUCGCGUCGACUGUGAAAACUCGGGGCUCAACUCCGAGCUUGCAGUCGAUACGGGCAGGCUAGAGUUCGGUAGGGGAGACUGGAAUUCCUGGUGUAGCGGUGAAAUGCGCAGAUAUCAGGAGGAACACCGGUGGCGAAGGCGGGUCUCUGGGCCGAUACUGACGCUGAGGAGCGAAAGCGUGGGGAGCGAACAGG
rnacentral:rRNA from 1 species